AGACUGGUAGCUCAGUGCAAGAGCAUCUGUACUGGCAAUCAGAAAAUCCCGGGCUCGAGUCCCAAUCAAUCCA